UUCUGUUAACGCGAGUGCGCUACAGAGAGAAUCAAGUCAUUCAGUUUCAGGUCUUGUGACAUAGAUCUUCAUUGUUAUCGAAAGGAUAACUUGUCUUGAUGUGUACAUAGUAACAAUACAACGUCACGUGUUGGUUGCUCACGUGCUGGUAGCCACGCCCAUCGCUCAAUUCACACGGCACAGAUCUUGGAUGUACUGAACGUUUAAGGAUCUGACAGUCAGUCGAAGACAAAACAAGGAAGUAGGCUACGAUUACGAAACAGUUCCAAAACAUUCCGAAGCAUCAUCUUUACUGAGAAGAUCUUCCAAAAUAUGGACGUCAGCUUUGCUUGUUAGGCCUUGCUCUUUUGGUGUCAAAUUCUGCAUCAAAUGAUUCCAAGGAGCUUGAACUUCAUCCAUCUGUAUCAGAACCAAAGAAUAUGUUGGUCAGACAAUUCUUGUCUUUUCAAGGUACCAGAGCAUUACUUCUCUUGUGUCAUUUCUUCUACAGAGCCAUGGCUGGAAGUGGAACUGGACUGAAGUCCCCGGACCUGGUGAAGCAGGUCGCUACUGCCAAUUCCCAGUUUGGUCUGGACCUGUACAAGAAGGUUGCCUCCGACCUGAAGGACUCCAAUGUGUUUCUGUCUCCCUUCAGCAUCUCGGCAGCUCUGGCCAUGACCCAGCUCGGGGCUCGAGGCGACACUGCAGCUCAGAUGAACCAGGUCCUGAAGUGGACCGACCUCCAGGACUCCGUACAUCCAGGGUUUGAAGACUAUCUGGGUCUUCUGAAGACACAGGGAGACUAUGUACUUACAACAGCCAACCGCUUGUUUGUCAAUGAUAAGAGCAAGAUUCUUGAUGAAUUUCUGCAGAAGACAGAUAAGCAUUAUGGUGCUCAGGCUGUCCUGUCUGACUUUGUGGGCAAUGGUGCUGGAGAGGCUCAGAAGAUUAACCAAUGGGUGGAAUCGGAGACCAAUGGCAAGAUCAAGGAUCUGAUUACCGGAGGAAUCGAUCCAUUGACAGCAAUGAUACUUAUUAAUGCCAUAUACUUCAAGGGCAACUGGGCACAGAAAUUUGAUCCCACAAAGACCAAGAAGGACACAUUUAAGGUGAAACCUGGAGAAACAAUCCAGGUUGAUAUGAUGCGGAUGAGCAAAAAGUUCAACUUCGGCUAUAACGAAGAGCUGAACUGCUCUGUAUUGGAACUGCCCUAUGUAAAGGAGGAACUUAGCAUGUUCUUCUUGUUGCCUUUCAAAGAUGAUGGUUUGGCAGAACUGGAAGACAAGUUGAAUCAUGAAUCUUUGACACAAGCCUUGAAAAAUGUUCAUAAAGUGACUGUGGACAUAUCCAUGCCAAGAUUUGUGUUGGAAUCAAGCUUUGAGCUGAACAACGUCCUGAAGUCUCUAGGAAUGUCUGAUGCUUUUGACGAGCAAAAGGCUGAUCUGUCUGGAAUCGAUGGAACCCGUCUCCUGUACAUCUCUCAGGUGGUCCACAAGGCCUUCCUGGAAGUCAACGAGGAGGGAAGUGAGGCUGCCGCAGCCACGGCUGUUAGGAUUAUGACAAGAUCCCUCCCUAUAAUCGAGCCAUUCAAGGCUGAUCAUCCCUUCCUGUUCCUCAUCCGCGACACUAGAGCUGAUGUUGUGCUGUUCAUGGGAAGACUUGUUCGUCCUCCCACAACAGGAUCAGCUGGAGGUUCAAAGAAAACUGAACUUUAGAGCUGUUGUUAUGUUUCUGUAUUUUUGGGUCUACUGUACUAUGUGUUGUGCCUUCUCUAUCAUUUAAUUGCAAUAUACUGUAAACAGUAGGCUAGUGUUCGUGUUUAUUCUUUCUCAAAAUGAAGACAAGUAGCUUCAGGUUUUAUAGUUUUUACUUCAACACUUGAUUUAUUGAUUGUCAACCUGUAAUUUCACAAAUGUGGAACAAUAAUAAGAAUUCGAGAACAGUUUCCUUUGUUCAGUUUUUGUUUAGAAAAAACACUUUUUCACUUCAUUUUUACUUGGGUAUGAUUGGUAAAAGUGGCCCAACAACCAAAAGGGAUUUUCAAAAUUUAUAAAUGUCCUGAAUACCUUUAGACAUUAGAUUUCCUUGAAUUUCUUCAUGGUGACUGACAUUUCAGUCAGUGCCAUUUUUUCGUUGGCUUCAUGCAUCUUCCCGUGUGCGACCAUAGAAUUUGCCAGGUCGUCGUUGGAGGCUCAACGGAGGUAGAAUGGUUGCCUAGGUCGUUCCAAGGUGGUACACAGGAGGUUCAGACAUCGUGAUGGACGCCAUAGUCGCCAUGAAGUUUUGAACAUGUUCAAAACAGUCGCACAAAGGUCGCCAAGGAGGUUGGUUGCUCAAAGGUGGCUCAAAGGAGGCAGAAGGGAAGCCCAAGCAUUGCCGUUGUUGCAGAAUGAAGGCACGGUGGUCGCCCAAUGAUCGCCAGGUAAUAGAUGCGUUCUGCUGAAAUAUUGUCUCGUAAAUCUGGGCGAUGCUUCUGCCUCCCUUGUGCCUCCUUUUGGCGUGCAUUGAACGAUGAGUAUGGCGAUCGCAGUGCCUCCAUUCGGCGACCACGGCAACCCUUGAGACACCAUGGUAAUGCUUCUGUCUCUUUUCUGCCUCCUUUGAGCUACCUGUAGUGCCUCUUCAGUCUGCCUAUAACUAGAGGGUUUGUACCUACAGUGUUUCAUUGUGGUUGCAGACGCUGAACAACUCGAGCAGUUACUGCUGAACAACUGCUGGAGCAGUUACAUAGAAACAUGAUUUUCUGGGUUUAGGCGACCAUUGAGUGUCCUGGCCAGUUUUUGAUCGCUCAAAGGUGGCACAAAGGUUGCAGCACUGUGUAAUGGGGGCUUUAGGGUAUUCAAAUAUAUUCUGAAAAAUAGAAUCCUAAUACAAUUUUUGGAACAGAUCCUUAGGGACGAUUUAUGCAUCAGCAUAACAUUAUAUGGUUUCACAUGAAAUUCCGACAUCUCAACUCCAAUUGUUUUUGUAUGAUAUCUCUUUCAUCUGUUUGGUUGACAUUUAAUUUGUCAUUUGACAUAUAUUUUGUUUGUAAACAGCGAUCUGCUGGCGUAAACUUCGGAAAAUACAAGGCAGAAGGUGGAACAAAAACACAAACUGCCAUGACUACUGUCAUCAAUAACAAAUACAAAAUUGACUAUUCUAGCAUGGGAACCAUUUUUUAUUACUUUUAUUAAAUUGCCUUGCUCGAAAGUGCUUUAAAAAAACCCGUAGAAUAUACUUUUUUUUUCGUUUCUGUGUUGGAUCUGUCCUUAAAAAUAUCACAGGUCGGGCGGGAGAGGUGUUUGUUAAAAAUGUAAAUGUUCUAUUUAAUCAAAAUUAGUCUUGUUCACUAUCUUUUCUCAUACAAAAACUAUUUAAAAGAAAUGAUAAAUAAAAACUUCAAUUGGUGUUGACAGAUCUGGAUUGGUCAGUCUGGUUUGGACGUUGACAGAUGCCACUUUUAUCAUGUUUAUCAUAGCCAUCAGGACACCUUAGCCUAUGUCGUAUAUCUGAUCAGUGCAUUUAUAGUUAUGUAAGGUUUGUAUUUGUACAUUUGUUGCUGUUGGUGGUGGAUAAUGAGUACAUAUUUGUUUUGCUGUCAGACCAGACCAAUAUGUUUGCCUGUUUUACAGAUAUGACAAUAGGGCUGGGACGGGUAACUCGGGUACCCGGGUCGGGUGGGUACUGAGUAGGACCCGAGUACCACAGCACUACCCGGACCCGUGGUUAGUCAUGUGAUAUAUUGUGUAAUGACAAAAAUUAUC
rnacentral:misc_RNA from 1 species